GCCAGGAUAGCUUAGUUAGUUAAAGCAUCUCAUUGGUAAUGAGAAGAGCGGCGGUGCAAUUCCGCCUCCUGGCU
rnacentral:tRNA from 1 species